rnacentral:lncRNA from 1 species
CGGGCUCACCAACGAACCUUUACACUUUGGUUUUCCGGGUUCACCAAAAACCUUUGUUGGUUUUGCGGGUUCACCAACGAACCUUUACAAGUAGUUUGACAAACAAAAAAGAAAGAUUCAAACUCCUAAAUGAGCAAAUGUAACAAUAUGAACUACAAAGAAGAGUUAGAAAAUAUUUAUCGCUUUGAAGUUGCUUCUCUCUUCUUUUUCAAGAAUGCUUCACUUCUUCAAGGGAGGAUGGAGCUCUUGAUGCCUCUUUGAAACUGCUCAAUCCCUUUCUUUGAUUGUUGAAUGAAGCUCUUGAUGAAGGAGAUU